AUUGAACGCUGGCGACAGGCCUAACACAUGCAAGUCGAGCGCGAAAGUCUUCGGAUGAGUAAAGCGGCGAACGGGUGAGUAAUGCAUGGGAAUCUGCCUGGUAGUGGGGGACAACGUCUCGAAAGGGACGCUAAUACCGCAUACGCCCUACGGGGAAAGGGGGGGAGUCUUCGGACCUCUCGCUAUCAGAUGAGCCCAUGUCAGAUUAGCUAGUUGGUGAGGUAAAGGCUCACCAAGGCGACGAUCUGUAACUGGUCUGAGAGGAUGAUCAGUCACACUGGAACUGAGACACGGUCCAGACUCCUACGGGAGGCAGCAGUGGGGAAUAUUGGACAAUGGGGGGCAACCCUGAUCCAGCCAUGCGCGUGUGUGAAGAAGGCCCUAGGGUUGUAAAGCGACUUUCAGUGGGGAGAAA
rnacentral:rRNA from 1 species